AUGCAUUUGAUACAAAGCAGAAAACAUGAGAGGAAGAUGGCACGCAGCAAAGGUUGUGAGCGGAAUAAAAAAAAUCCCCGACAUCAGCUGCAAAUGGUACAUGUGUCUGCUGAAUCCACCACUUCACCUUUGGGAGUGAAAGAAUUGCAGGAUGUGCGCUGGCAGAACCCCCCGUCUGACACCACUACAGUUGGUCCCCUCUGGAUAUCCUCUGCACCCCCCCUGCUCUCCUGUUCCACAACCUGCCUUCCCUCCUCCCUCCUUUCUUCCACAAGGAUGGAGGCCUGAGACAGCUCCGGUUUAAAAGAGACAAGCAGGCAGGAGGUUCUGGAUAUACCGUCCCCAGGCAACAGGAAUAUUCUGAGGUGAUUGCGUCUGUGUGUGUUGUAAUGUUAAGAGAGAAAAAAAGAUGGGUGGCGGGGUUCCACACACACACACACAAAGAAUAGAAAAGGGUCAAACCCACUAAAACUUCUUGGGGCUCCAAACAGCACAUCUGUGCAAAAGUGAACUGAAAAUUUACCAUGAAGACUGUUUCUUUCUUUCCCCCUGUUCCAGGUUUCUCCUGUGCUUCAACACACCCCCAUUUCAUUUCCUCACAGCCCUGCCUCCCCCCCUCCAAAAUCCAACCUCCCCCUCCCUCAAGACAACCUCUCUCCCCACCCCGUCCCCUCCCUCUGUGCCUCUCUGUGGCAGAUGGGCACUGUGUGUGACAGCAGGGUCAUCGGGUCACAUCCACAUGGGGUAGGGGUCUCCUUUGUGUGUGUGUGUGUAAUUUGACCUUUCGUGUACACACAUGUAUUUGUUGGUGUGUGUGUGUGUGUGUAUGUGUGCAUGCUAAGGUGUACUUUAAUGUGCGUUUGUUGUAUUUUUCCGUGGGUGUGUUGUUUAGUAUUUUUGCAUGUGUCACUGUAGAUGCAGUGCAGUUGUGCAUGUGUGUGUCUGUGUGUUAAGGUAUCAGACACAGUCACAUAAACCCUGAAACUGUUGUAACCUUAAGCAUCCCCUUUUACCCUCACCACACACACACACACACACACACUCACCCGCUGUGCCUCCAGUCUCAGAAAUGAUAUGCGUGACUGUGUCUGUGUGGCACGGUCACGCAUGUGUGUCUUAGCAUGUGUGUGUGCGCGUUUGUGUGUGUGUGCAUGGGUGAAAAUACACACAGUCUGCAUAGAUGAGAGUAUUUACAUGCAAAAGGGUGUGAGACAGAGUGUUUGUGUGUGUGUGUGAGUGUGAGUAAGUGCCAUUGUGUGUGAAACAGAAGCCUGAGGGCAUGCUCAUCAGCAGAGAGACAUAGAUUUGCAUAAUGAAAUUCCCUCUAUCGCGCUGCCGCAGAGGACAAAAUAAAACAAGACCCUUAACAAACCCUUUAAACACUUAGGUGAAUACAACAAAAGUACACACACAUACACACACUCACUUAACUUUCGGUCUCCGAUUGGACCUCGAGCCUGGCGAGGAGCUUUGGGACUCUGUUACUAUAGGUACACUUGAUGGAUGUGUUUCCCUUCCUCUGUAGCACUGCGUCUGUACGGCUUUCAUAAAGAGCAUGAGCGUGUUUCACUCUUUCAGAGCUCAAACAGGCAAGUAAAAUCAGCCGCUCGCCCAGUUGUUCGGUGCUAGGUCGGUCGACGUGGCCCAGUCAUGUCUGCUGAUCUGUGUGCACGUGAGUGAGAGACAGUCUGCGCUUUGGUGCGCCACAGCGGCAACAGCGUAUCUGUCAGGCGAGGUACUAAAGGCAACCCGGGGCUUUCACAUGUGCAUGCCGGGUAGACAGGAAAUCUGCCAUCAUCACUGCUCUCUGGCUGCCUGUCUGAAUGUAAUGUGGUACAUGCUUCAGGUGCAAGGGGGAUCGAACUGGGGCGGAGCAGUGUGUGGUGGGGGUUAACUGGUUGAUAGAGGAGAGGAGGUACAGGAGGAGGUGAAAGAGAAGGAGAAAGAGAUCAGUUUUGUUGGACACGCAUCAUUUUUCCUCCAAAGGACACUGGCAGCUGUUGUGUGUAAUUGGGGGUGGCUGCUG
ensembl:lncRNA